rnacentral:rRNA from 1 species
GAUGAACGCUAGCUACAGGCUUAACACAUGCAAGUCGAGGGGAAACGGCAUUGAGUGCUUGCACUCUUUGGACGUCGACCGGCGCACGGGUGAGUAACGCGUAUCCAACCUUCCCAUUACUGUGGGAUAACCUGCCGAAAGGCAGACUAAUACCGCAUAGUCUUCGAUGACGGCAUCAGAUUUGAAGUAAAGAUUUAUCGGUAAUGGAUGGGGAUGCGUCUGAUUAGCUUGUUGGCGGGGUAACGGCCCACCAAGGCUACGAUCAGUAGGGGUUCUGAGAGGAAGGUCCCCCACAUGGGAACUGAGACACGGUCCAAACUCCUACGGGAGGCAGCAGUGAGGAAUAUUGGUCAAUGGACGGAAGUCUGAACCAGCCAAGUAGCGUGCAGGAUGACGGCCCUAUGGGUGGUAAACUGCUUUUGUAUGGGGAUAAAGUUAGGGACGUGUCCCUAUUUGCAGGUACCAUAAGAAUAAGGACCGGCUAAUUCCGUG